rnacentral:rRNA from 1 species
UACGAAGGGUGCAAACGUUGCUCGGAAUUAUUGGGCGUAAAGCGCACGUAGGCGGCUUAGCAAGUCGGAUGUGAAAUCCCUCGGCUUAACCGGGGAACUGCGUCUGAUACUGGAUGGCUGGAGUGUGGGAGAGGGAUGCGGAAUUCCAGGUGUAGCGGUGAAAUGCGUAGAUAUCUGGAGGAACACCGGUGGCGAAGGCGGGUCUCUGGGCAGUAACUGACGCUGAGGAGCGAAAGCGUGGGGAGC